CGUUCUCGGUCCCAAAAUAAAAAUCUUAUCCUCUACUAUGAGAAGACCAUCGCUCCAGAACUAUACUGUUGUGGAAGUCCCUCAAGAAAUUCCGGCUUCUAGGAUGGUGUCAUGUCACACUGCGCCUUACCCUUAUGCAAUUUUCUUCUGUCAUUCUCAACAUCAAAACAAAGUAUUUAAGACUUCAUUUGUAGGUGAGACUAAUGGUGAUAGGAUUGAACUUAUCAGUCUUUGUCACCUCGAUACCUCCGAGUGGAGGCCUGAUCAUCUCUCCUUCCAAUUGCUGGGAAGUGAGCCUGGGAAAAUUCCAG
rnacentral:lncRNA from 1 species